rnacentral:rRNA from 1 species
AAACUAACAAGGAUUCCCCUAGUAACGGCGAGUGAACCGGGAAGAGCUCAAAUUUGAAAUCUGGCGUCCUUCGGGCGUCCGAGUUGUAAUCUAUAGAAACGUUUUCCGUGCCGGACCGUGUCCAAGUCCCUUGGAACAGGGUAUCAGAGAGGGUGACAAUCCCGUACUUGACACGACGACCGGUGCUCUGUGAUACGUUCUCUACGAGUCGAGUUGUUUGGGAAUGCAGCUCAAAAUGGGUGGUAAACUCCAUCUAAAGCUAAAUAUUGGUGGGAGACCGAUAGCGAACAAGUACCGUGAGGGAAAGAUGAAAAGCACUUUGGAAAGAGAGUUAAACAGUAUGUGAAAUUGUUGAAAGGGAAACGAUUGAAGUCAGUCGUGACCGUUGGGUUCAGCCGGUUCUGCCGGUCUACUCCCUUCGGUCGGGUCAACAUCGGUUUUGACCGGCGGAUAAGGAAGGGAGGAAUGUGGCACCCUCCGGGGUGUGUUAUAGCCUCUCGUCGCAUACGUCGGUCGAGACCGAGGAACGCAGCUCGCCUUUAUGGCCGGGGUUCGCCCACGUCCGAGCUUAGGAUGUUGACAUAAUGGCUUUAAACGACCCGUCUUGAAACCGG